rnacentral:rRNA from 1 species
GAUUUCUGGUUUGGUAUGCCUGACCCGUUAUGGUUACAUAAUUGUGUGUCGGUGCGUGCCUGCCAUCCUUCUAGAAUACUAUCUCGCAUUCUUCAUUGGAUGUGUUGAUAGUCGUUCUAGAUCUUUUACUUUGAAAAAAUUAGAGUGUUUCAAGCAGGCUUUAUGCUAUGAAUACAUUAGCAUGGAAUAAUAAUUUAGGACUUCGGUUCUAUUUUGUUGGUUUCUAGGACUGAAGUAAUGAUUGAUAGGGAUAGUUGGGGGUGCUAGUAUUCAGCGGCCAGAGGUGAAAUUCUCGGAUUCGCUGAAGACUAACUUAUGCGAAAGCAUU